GACGAACGCUGGCGGCGUGCUUAAUACAUGCAAGUCGAACGGAAAGGCGCUGCUCUUGUGGGUCUCUCGAGUGCCGAACACGUGUGUAACACGCGUGUAACCUCCCCUUGUCUUUCGGAUAUCUUCACGAAACUGCGGCUCAUAUCGGAUAUGAUCUCCUGCUGCAUGUUGGGCGUUGGUAAGUUUCGGCGGUUGGGGCUGGACUCGCUGCUUAUCAGCUUGUUUGUGUGGUAGUGGCUUACCAAGGCUUCGACGGCUAGCCGGCAUGGGAGGGCUGCCAGGCACAUUGGGACUGAGAGAGGGAGCAGACGGGUACGGGAGGCAGCGGGGGGGAAUAUUGCAGAAUGGGGGGAAGCCUGAGGCAGAAACGCCGCGUGCGGGAUGACGGCCUUCGGGUUGAAAACAGAUUUGGAAUGUAACGAAGCGGGAGUGACGGUAAUGGGUAAAGAAGCAACGGCUAACUACGUG
rnacentral:rRNA from 1 species